GCUUUUUGCAUCAGGCAUUCUGGCUUUGAAGUUUUUCUAGGCUGAUUAUGUUCAUCUCUAUACAUAUUUCCAUACAUUAUUUGAGAAAUAUUCUUUUGUUGGUAUGAGUGUGACUAUUGUUUUAGGCUAGUUUAGAUCAUUGCAACCUGUUGAUGCUCAAAAUGGCCCGGCCAAUAUUGAGUGCAACUUAGCGAUUAGAUGUGCUGAGUCUUCAGCAGAGAAGGAGGCUGAGGCCCUUGGUGAAAUGGGUUGGUGAGAGACCUGUAGAAGGUAAAAAGAGGAGAAGCAAUCGUUAAGCUUCGGACACCGGUGUGGUGCCGGCCGAAGGCUCUCCGAUGCCUAAGUCAGUUACAAGUAGUAAUUCUGACAGAGUAACAGUAAAAGUGGGAGAAUAGUUCUUGGUUUUACCUGGGUACUGUUCCCAAUGUGGGACUUUGUGCAAGCCGUUGUGGUGACGACACGUGUCCUGGAGAUUAGAUUUGGUAGCUGAGAGCUUCGGCAGGUGUCUGGCACCUCGGAAGUGUGUCUUCCUUCGGCAUGGGAGAAGGCGUGGCUGCCUUGGUGCUAGUCGCUUUGAUGCUGGGUCUGCUCGGUUCAUUAUGGUGUAAACACAACCCAUGUUGGGUGAUUAUCUAUUGAAACUUGGGUUUCUGUAUUGUAUAAUUUGAAUCAGUGCAAAUAAAAAUUUGUUUUACUUUAUUUUGUAUCCCUUCAGACUUUCAGUUUCAGUGAAUUACUUU
rnacentral:lncRNA from 1 species